GACGAACGUUGGCGGCGUGCUUAAUACAUGCCAGUCAACUGAAGCAGUGGUAGCAAUAUCGCUGUGGAGGUGGCGCACGGGUGAGUAACACGUAGGUAAUCUGCCUUCAGGUCUGGCAUAACUCCGGGAAACCGGGGCUAAUAGCAGAUGAUGCAGCGGCUCGACAUCGAGACAGUUGUUAAAGCUAUGGCGCCUGAAGAUGAGCCUGCGUCUGAUUAGCUAGUUGGCGGGGUAACGGCCCACCAAGGCAACGAUCAGUAGCUGGUCUGAGAGGAUGAUCAGCCACACUGGAACUGAGACACGGUCCAGACUCCUACGGGAGGCAGCAGUAAGGAAUAUUGCUCAAUGGGAGAAAUCCUGAAGCAGCAACGCCGCGUGAGGGACGAAGGGCUUUUGCUUGUAAACCUCUGUAGUGAGAGAAAAAAAUCCCAAUCUUUGGGACAUGAUGGUAUCUCAAAAGUAAGCCCCGGCUAACUACGUG
rnacentral:rRNA from 1 species